rnacentral:rRNA from 1 species
AGAAUCAACGCUGGCGGCGUGCCUAACACAUGCAAGUCGAACGAGAAAGUGGUAGCAAUACCACUAGUAAAGUGGCGCACGGGUGAGUAACACGUGACUAACCUACCCUGGAGUGGGGGAUAACUGAGGGAAACCUUAGCUAAUACCGCAUAACACCUACGGGUCAAAGGAGCAAUUCGCUUUGGGAGGGGGUCGCGGCCGAUUAGUUAGUUGGCGGGGUAAUGGCCCACCAAGACGAUGAUCGGUAU